GGUGAUAAAAUGGGCAGUUUGACACAGUUUGCCUCUCAAAGAUGAAUUCCCUCUAUAGCUGGUGCUGAUGAAAGUGAGGCACGAGAUAAAAGGAAAUAAGCAUUAAGUGCCUACUAUGGACCAGGGCACCAUGCUAAGCACUUUGCAAACGUUAUCAAACAUGAUCCUCACACCCAUCCUAAAAGGUAAGUGCCAUAAUUUAUUCCCAUUUUUUUUUCCAAUAGUAGAAACUGAGAUUUGCCCUGGGUUAUAUUGCUAGACUCAGAGGCUGAAACCAGUCAUGUCUUCCUGACUCCAGGCCCACCGCUACGCCACCUAGCGGCCUCCAUAGAGGCGAAUUAUAGGUAUCAAGAGUGACAGUUUAAACUUUUGGCCCUCAAUUCCUUAGCUAAUGAAAACUAAAACAGCCCGGCCAUUCAUUUUGCUGCCCCAGGAAGCAAACGAAACUCCUAGGGUAGGAUCUUGCCUAAACGAACCCGGGCCUGGGGAAAUCCCACCGCUGUCCUAACUCUACUCUUCAGUGGGUCUGGGCCCGCCUCCUCCCCCAAGGGGCGUGCCUUCGUUAAAAAAAAAAAAAUCACCUCUUUACGCGUGCGCAGAGUGGUUGGCGGUUAGCUAGGGCGAGCGGAUGUUGUUUUGUGACGAGCCACAGGGGAGGAUCUCAUCCAGGUCCGGCGUUAGCCGGGAUCCUGCUAUUGGUGACCUCCGCCCUACGACACAAAGGUCACAGCUGCUGGCUCCUCCUUCGUCUGACGGAAGACUGGGAAAGGGGGGAGGGGAGAGACGCUCCCUGGCACUGUAAAGGGAGAGAGUGGGUUUUUGCCGGUCGGCUGCUGGAUCUUUUGGGGGCCGUCGGAGCCCCACGACAGCCAUCCUUGCCGGGGCGGUACCGGUACCCUGAGAGGGGACAUCCACCAUGCCUUGUAUGCCCUCCUUCCUCACCUCUGCCUCUUAGACUCCCAAGCUUCCUUCAAGCCUCAGCACAGAAUAUGCACCUUGCAAAUCUAUCUCAAUCCGACUGACAUGCCUGAUGUAAGAGUGCCAUAACUAUGACUACAUUCUGAGGCCUUCCUAUUCCCUGAACAAUAUUGAAAUAAGGCCAAUAAAUAACCCUACAGUUACCUCUUAAGUGUUCA
rnacentral:lncRNA from 1 species